rnacentral:rRNA from 1 species
UACGUAGGGUGCAAGCGUUGUCCGGAAUUAUUGGGCGUAAAGAGCUCGUAGGCGGUUUGUCGCGUCUGCUGUGAAAACCCGAGGCUCAACCUCGGGCCUGCAGUGGGUACGGGCAGACUAGAGUGAUGUAGGGGAGACUGGAAUUCCUGGUGUAGCGGUGAAAUGCGCAGAUAUCAGGAGGAACACCGAUGGCGAAGGCAGGUCUCUGGGCAUUAACUGACGCUGAGGAGCGGAAAGCAUGGGGAGCGAACAGG